rnacentral:rRNA from 1 species
GGUGGAUGGCUCGGCUCGGGCGCCGAGGAAGGGCGUGGCAAGCUGCGAUAAGCCCGGGGGAGGCGCAGGCAGCCGUAGAACCCGGGAUCCCCGAAUGGGACUUCCUGCCCCAUUUGGGGCGCUCCCAUUAGGGAGCGGGAACGCGGGGAAAAGAAACAUCCGAGUACCCGCAGGAAAAGAAAUCAACCGAGAUGCCGGGAGUAGGGGCGACCGAAACCGGCAUAGGGCAAACCGAAUCCCUUCCCGUAAGGGAAGGGAGAUGUGGAGUUGCAGGGCAGCCCAUAAUGGAUCCAUGUUGGGAAGCCGAAGUCCCCUGGAAUGGGGCGCCAUAGAGGGUGAAAGCCCCGUAGGCGUAACCAACAUGGAUCCUGGGCUGUCCCUGAGUACCGUGCGUUGGAUAUCGCGCGGGAAGCUGGGGGACAUUAGGCCUCCAACCCUAAAUACGUCCCGAGACCGAUAGCGCACUAGUACCGUGAGGGAAAGCUGAAAAGCACCCCUAGCGGGGGGUGAAAAGAGCCUGAAACCAGGUGGGGACAGAAUGGCACGGCCCUUAAGGUAACCCCUCCGAAGGAAACUCCCGCGAGGGAGGAGUACGAGGAGGGGUAUGCCGGGGUCGUGCCGUCCGUUUCGAAAAACGGGCCGGGGAGUGUACGGGUGUGGCGAGCCUAAGGGGUUUAACCCCGGAGGCGUAGGGAAACCGACAUGCCCGCAGGCUCUGCCGAGGGGCGGGGUCCGAAAGGGCCCGGAGUCACACCCGUACGACCCGAAACCGGGCGAUCUAGGCCGGGGCAGGGUGAAGCCCCUCAUCAGAGGGGUGGAGGCCCGCAGGGGUGUUACAAUGCAAAGUGCUCCUCUGACCCCGGCCUAGGGGUGAAAAGCCAAUCGAGCCCGGAGAUAGCUGGUUCCCCCCGAAAUGUCCCGCAGGACAGCCGGGGGUUAGGUAGAUGGCGGGGUAGAGCCACGGAUAGGGUGUUUGGGGGCGAAAGCCCUCGGCACCCUGUCCAACUCCGAACCCGUCAUCGCCUUAGCCCCCGAGUGAGGGCGUACGGGUAAGCCGUACGUCCGAGAGGGGAACAACCCGGACCCGGGUUAAGGCCCCUAAGUGCCGGCUAAGUGUAAAUGAGAAGGGUGUCCCCGGCCUAAGACAGCGGGGAGGUUGGCUUAGAAGCAGCCAUCCUUUAAAGAGUGCGUAACAGCUCACCCGUCGAGGUCGGGGGCCCCGAAGAUAACGGGGGCUAAGCCGGCCGCCGAGACCCGGGGGCAUCCCGAAAAGGGAUGAUCCGGUAGGGGGGCGUCCCGCGUGGGUAGAAGCCUCUGCGUGAGCAGGGGUGGACCACGCGGGAACGAGAAUCCCGGCAGUAGUAACAGCAAAGUGGGGUGAAAAUCCCCACCGCCGAAGGGGCAAGGUUUCCACCGCUAUGGUCGUCAGCGGUGGGUUAGCCGGUCCUAACCC